rnacentral:rRNA from 1 species
AGCAGCCGCGGUAAUUCCAGCUCCAAUAGCGUAUAUUAAAGUUGUUGCAGUUAAAAAGCUCGUAGUUGAAUUUCGGGGUUCAUCCGUUGGUCGGGCUUUUUGGUCUGUACUGGCGUGAUGGAUCCCUACCUUCUGAAUAACCGGCAUGCCAUUAAUUUGGUGCGCCGGGGAAGCAGGACUGUUACCUUGAAAAAAUUAGAGUGCUUAAAGCAGGCUUAUGCCUGAAUACAUUAGCAUGGAAUAAUGAAAUAGGACGGCAUGGUUCUAUUUUGUUGGUUUCUAGGAUCACCGUAAUGAUUAAUAGGGAUAGUUGGGGGCAUUAGUAUUCAAUUGUCAGAGGUGAAAUUCUUGGAUUUAUUGAAGACUAACUUCUGCGAAAGCAUUUGCCAAGGAUGUUUUCAUUAAUCAAGAACGAAAGUUAGGGGAUCGAAGACGAUCAGAUACCGUCGUAGUCUUAACCAUAAACUAUGCCGACUAGGGAUCGGACGAUGUUAAUUUUUUAAUGACUCGUUCGGCGCCU